rnacentral:lncRNA from 1 species
AAGAUCACAAUGAUAUGAGCAGCUCUGCUAUCUGCAAUCAUAAAAGAAAGUAAUGGAAUUGUUUAGGUUGGAAAAGACCUCUGAGGUCAUCAAGUCCAACUGUUAACCCAGCACUGCCAAGUCCACCACUAAACCAUGUCCCUCGGAUACUUUUAAGUAUCCCCAGGGACGGUGACACAACCACUUCCCUGGGCAGCCUGUUCUAAUGCUUGGCAGCCUUUUCUGUGAAGAAAUUGUUCCUAAUAUCCAAUCUAAACUUCCCCUGUGCAACUUGAGGCCAUUUCUUCUUGUCCUGUCCCUGAUUAUUUGGAAGAAGAGACUGACCCCCACCUGACUCCAACCUCCUUUCAGGUUAUAGAGAGCGAGAAGGUUCCCCCGAGCCUCCUUCUCUCCAGGCUAAGCCCCCCCAGCUCCCUCAGCUGCUCCUCAUCAGACUGGGUUAUCACAGUCAAUGGGUUAUCACAGUCCCUCUCUCAUCCUGUUUCUCUUUUUCAGGAAGGACAAUUUCAGACUGUCAGAAGGGCAUCCCUAAAGGGGCAGCUAGAGGGCACAGACCUGCAAUAAUGAGUGCAACUGUCUCUCCUUCCCUAAAAGGGGGAAAAAAAAAAGAUUGAAAUAAAGAACUGAAAUCUUCUCUCAGCUUUGGCUGUGCUCCCACAGCAUGGACAAGCAACUUCCAUCACCAAUUUCAGACAGUCUGGACUUGGGAGCCCAGUCUGAUCCAAGCAGCAGUGGGGCAAUACUAGAGCAGGAGAAUAGAAAGUCCAUGGUCUGGGAAGGCACAGAGGUAAAGCAGAGAAGAGGAAAAGACAGGAGCCUGAGGCCAGAGAGAAGAGAAGGUUGAUAAGGAGUUGCAGCAGAUACAGCAGACACAGGCCAGGCAAACAAAUGUCUUUCCAGGAAAUGAUCACAAAGUGUCCAAGAGGGAACUUACCUCAUCCAAAGGCUUUGUAUCAGACAGUCCUGACCUGAGCCUUUGAGACAUAAGCCUGAUGGCUGAGGUCUAAAGGAGAAAGCAAACCUCAUGCAGAAAGCUCUAAAAGGAUGGCAGCCUGCAAAGAGGAAGCAAACAGCUGAAGUCUGGAUGUAGGGAAAAGAUGUAACAGUUAUGUGCAAGGCAGGCAUCUGAAAGACACUGGAUUUACAUUUAAGCUUUUCAUAUUUGGAGAAUUUCUGUUAAGAAAAAAAAAAAACAGACGUGAAAAGGGAGGAAGUACACAGUUACUAUAACACAAAAAAAACCUGAGCCAAUUCACCGAGCCAAAACAGCCCUGGAGGGACUGGUCUGUCUGGUCUUUCACAGAUUGUAGCUUUAGGGCAUGACAUACACACACCAAAAAAAAAAAAAAAAAAAAGGAUCCAUAGUUAAGAGAGGAUCCUUUGGGAAAAUUUUGUCUUGGGGUAGAAAUCACUGAAGAAGAGGAAUAAUGGUCAAACAGGGAUAGAGGAGGCAGAAGAGAGAAGGACCUCAGGUUGGCUGAAGGUCUGUUCAGACUUGAGGCAUUUUUAUCCUGGGAGGAGACACAGGGCUCAGAGUCUGCCCCUGGGGUGUUAGUGCUGGAGACAAACCAACCUGCAGUUUGCUUAUCCUGAAAUAACAGAGGAAGAGUUCAAAUCAGUUUAUUUUGUUUAUUGCUUGACUUCAGGAAGACUGUACCUUGCCAUUAUGUGCUAUUCUGUUUAUCUUCUCCAGCUUUAACAAGCUGCUAUCAUUUUAAACACUGUGAUUCCUUAGUGUGAUGGGAAAGGAAAUUUCCCCAGGUGUCUGAGCUGGGGGUCAAACCAAUCUUCACAACAGACCUUCACAGAUAAUCAAAGCCAGCCCUUAUGGCUGCCAAUCAGGG